UUUUAUUUAAAUAAAACAUUACAUUUUCAAUGUAAAAAUAAAAACUUAUUUUUUUAUAAAUA
rnacentral:tRNA from 1 species